rnacentral:lncRNA from 1 species
AGGAGACUGCAUGGGCUGUGCUGAGCUCAGCCUCCUCCUCUUUCCGCUUCUGCCACCCUCCCACCACCCGCCCACCUGCGUCUGUGCUGGGUUUCCCUGGCAGGAGCUCUGUGCACCUGUCCAGGUGUGUCUGCUGGAAGCUCCCGCUGCUCCCUCUGGGCAGGCACAGGUGCACCUGCAGGCCCAGGGAAGAAUGCAGCACGCCCUCCCUCCCUGCUGCCCCCACCCUGGCUAAGGAGCUCAAGCUCUGGGAAGGCCAGGUCUUUGCUCCUCUGCCCAGACGCAGAUGCAGGUGCACCCUGGGUCCUCCUGUCCUCGCUGGGUGUUGAGCGGAGACAGGAGGUGCCUGCCCAGGUCCCUUGUCCUGAGAGUGCCUCCUCCCAGCCAGCCUCGCCCGGUGGGGUCCUGCAGGUUACGACUGAAGCGAGUGGUGCGGCUUCUGGAAGAUUCUGGAGGGUCCUGGGCUGCCCGGGAGGCUGCUUGAUGGGGGUGGUGGAAAAGGGGCCCCCACAGCUAAUACUCCUGUAAACCAAACGGGUGCAAUUCUGGGUGAUUUUCCGCAGAUUUUUCUGAACCACAUCCAGAAGUAAAGUCGUGGAGGAGAUAUCAAAACUUCUUGGGUAUCUAAACUUCCUCUUUCAGGGGAAGAAGCAGAGGUAGCUUUGACUGCCCCAGCUGGCCAGGGCGUCCCUUGAGCUCUGACCCCUGACCCUCUGGCUCCUCACCUGGGAGUCAGGUGAUGGCUUCACGCCCAGGACACAAUGGGCUGUGCAGUUUCCAGCUCUGACGGCAGCAGGGCGUUCUUUUCCUCUUGAAUCACCAGGUUUCGGGUCAGCAGUGUCGAGAGCCCGGCUCCAAGGUGCUUCUGAACGAUACAUACCUUUGAAGUUGUUACCCAUCACUACAUAGGGGGAAUAGCAACCCUCGUGUCCAUCAGCACAUGAGUGGGUGAACAAAACGUGCCCGUCCAGACAGUGGACACUCGACAGCCGAGAAAAUGAAAGAGAUGCUGGCACGGGCUACAGCACCAAGGAGCUGUGUGGACGUCAUGCCGCGGGGCCCUGUCUGAUCCUCUCCUGGGAGGUCCCUGGAGUUCCCAGAUCUGUAGAGACCGAACGCAGAAUGGCAGGUGCCAGGCUGGGGAGAGGCCUUCAGUUUGGGAGGACUCUGGAGACCGGUGGUGAAGGUGGACGCACAGCUGUGGGAAUGCGGUUCGUCCGUCGGACACUUAAAGAUGGUGAAAAUGGCAAUUUUAUGUAUUAUUUUACUACAAUUAAAU